rnacentral:lncRNA from 1 species
AGUUACAUUCUUCACUACACUCACAGUUACUUGAAACUGAGGACAUUCCUGAUAUUCAAGCUGUGCCUGGAGACUUUCAAUGAGACAAGGUUGCAUCCAUCUGCAAUUCUAAGCAGCUAUUUAGGUGUGUUCUGUAUUAUUUACUCACUAUUGUUUAUUACAAUUUUGUGUUAUCGAGACUAUAAUGUCAAUCAUGACUCCUCUUUUUAAACCAGAUUCAAAUUCACUGCAUCUUUUUUUGUUUUUUAUUAUACUUUAAGUUUUAGGGUACAUGUGCACAAUGUGCAGGUUAGUUACAUGUGUAUACAUGUGCCAUGCUGGUGUGCUGCACCCAUUAACUUGUCAUUUAGCAUUAGGUAUAUCUCCUAAUGCUAUCCCUCCCCACUCCCCCAAACCCACAACAGUCCCCAGCGUGUGAUGUUCCCCUUCCUGUGUCCAUGUGUUCUCAUUGUUCAGUUCCCAC